CAGGGAAGAACUCAUCUGAAUCCUGGACAAUGCUGGGCCUUUGCAGGAUUCCCAGGACGUUUAUCCGUCCAACUGUCCCACAAAGCAACUGUCACUCAUGUGUCGCUGGGUCAUAUUCCUAAGAUAAUAUCCCCAUCUUCCACAAUCUCCAGUGCUCCGAGGGAAUUCUUUGUCUAUGGAAAGAAGGACAUAAAUGAUGAGGAGAGUUUCUUGGGAGCUUUCCAAUAUGAAGAAGAUGGCAGCAGGAUACAAACCUUCAAACUUCCUGAUUAUAAAACUGACUCCUUCACCCAUGUGAGCCUACAGCCAGUCAGCCUCGGCAGAUGGCUGUUCAUCCUGAGCCUGGUUCUGCUGGAGGUUUCUUCCUUUUAAAGGGAGUUAUCCUCUCCACUGUUGCCUUGUGCUUGCUCAGGAUGGGGGAUCCCUUGGAUUAAACAUCCAUCGCGAUCGGCUGGUGACCCCUCCGCAGA